GGGAAUAAAAUUGUUUGGUAUGAUUGAACUUCGAAGUUGUUUUCUAUCUGAGUCAAGCUUAGGUGGCAAUUAGGUCGCAGAUGCGAUCAUCUAGAUUGGUUAAUCUUUUAUGGGAGUCCACAAUUUUGACUCUUAACAAUAAUUCAUCUAGUUGCUUAAAACGUACUCAGGAGAGAAUAUGAGAGUCAAAAUGCUUCAAUUGACUCUUACAUUAUACAAGAUUUGUAUUUAAACAGAAUACUGCACACUAAUUCUCAUGAAUGUAUUUAUAUAAGAUCUGUAUAGUACAUCUAAUUUACUUAAAAAAGAGAAGAAAAGUCAAAAGGCAACGCGGA
rnacentral:lncRNA from 1 species